UACAGAGGUCCCAAGCGUUGUUCGGAUUCACUGGGCGUAAAGGGUGCGUAGGCGGUCGGGUAAGUCUGAUGUGAAAUCUCACAGCUUAACUGUGAAACUGCAUUGGAUACUAUUCGGCUAGAGAGUUGGAGGGGGGACUGGAAUUCUUGGUGUAGCAGUGAAAUGCGUAGAUAUCAAGAGGAACACCAGUGGCGAAGGCGGCUCUCUGGAACGCAACUGACGCUGAGACGCGAAAGCGUGGGGAGCAAACAGG
rnacentral:rRNA from 1 species